rnacentral:rRNA from 1 species
UACGUAGGCAGCGAGCGUUGUUCGGAGUUACUGGGCGUAAAGCGUGCGUAGGCGGUGUCUCAAGUUUGUUGUGAAAUCUCCCGGCUCAACCGGGAGGGUGCGGCGAAUACUGAGAUGCUGGAGUGCGGGAGAGGUAAGCGGAAUUCCUGGUGUAGCGGUGAAAUGCGUAGAUAUCAGGAGGAACACCUGCGGUGUAGACGGCUUACUGGACCGUAACUGACGCUGAGGCACGAAAGCGUGGGUGGCAAACAGG